rnacentral:ribozyme from 11 species
GAAUCGUUCAAAUUUGCACGGAGAGAUGAAGAAGAAAAGACGUGUACGAAGGAAAGAAGUUUGCUCGAAUGAAGCACUUGGCCUCCUCUUUGUAAACACGUGAGUUUGGGUUUCGGUUCUCUCACCCUCCCUUCCUUGUGGAUUUCUUUACCUGUCUUUCUUUCUUUCUGCCUUUCCCUCUGUGUGUUUGUCUGAUGAUCGGAAGGCAGAAAGAAGACAGAGA